AGUUAAGUGAGGAGUUAAAUAUGAGGAACCUUUGGAGUCGAAACAUGGAAAGACGCCCGAAGGUUUUUCUUUUUA
rnacentral:sRNA from 1 species